rnacentral:rRNA from 1 species
UACGAAGGGGGCUAGCGUUGCUCGGAAUCACUGGGCGUAAAGCGCGCGUAGGCGGGCUUUCAAGUCGGUUGUGAAAUCCCUCAGCUCAACUGAGGAACUGCAUCCGAUACUGUUUGUCUUGAGGACGAGAGGGGAGAGUGGAACUUCUGGUGGAGCGGUGAAAUGCGUAGAUAUCAGAAGGAACGCCGGUGGCGAAAGCGACUCUCUGGCUCGUAUCUGACGCUGAUGUGCGAAAGCUUGGGUAGCAAACGGG